GGUUAUUCUUGUCACGUGGUAUGUUAUUGUCUAUCCCACCACCUAAGGAAGAUUGAAUUUGGAAGGUUGAGUUCAAACACACAGUAGAACUAAGGGAUUUUAGGUUUGACAUUAUCUUAUUCUCUGCAUUUAUUGAAUGGUAGAGGCUUGAGACGCAUAAUUUUCACUAUCCGUGGGAUGGGAUUACCAUCAUAUUCCAGGAUGUGGCUUACCAUAUUAGUUUGCGCACAGAUGAAGACCCGUUUGGAAGUUGUAUUAGAGAUUUCCAUCAGCACCAUGAGCACACCACCUGACAGUGGAUUGAGAAUUUGUUGGUGACAGGUCUCCACUUCAGCCAGAAUUUUGACUUGAAGAUAACUUGGCUUAAAAACAAGGUCACACAUAUUCUGCGAGGGACAGAUUUAGAUAUUUUCCGCCAAUAUGUCUGGUGUUGCUUGUUGAUGUUAAUUUGGAGGUAUUUGUUUACGGACAAGUCAGUCAACCUUCUCCCUAUCAAAUGGUUGCCGACUUUGAAAAUUUUGAUAGUUGCAGACAAUUAUCUUAGAAAUCUGCAUUGCUGUCGCACACCUACCAUCAUUCUGCAGCUCUGCUCAGCGUGAUGUGACGGACAUUACCAGGUGCAUAUUGUUGGUGGUGUCAUGGAUUUACCACAAGUUCCCGUACUUCUAUCCGACUGGCAAUGAUAUUGGCGGGACUAGGACAACAGACUAGAGACCACCAUCACGGUAGAGGACUACGACUGCGACACAGGCUUUGGCAAGCUACAGUAUCUUCAGUUGUCUCAAGCUUCGGCAAGGGCAACGCAGUGCUAUCUGCGACAUCAAUAAAUAUAAAUUAGAGUUCACAGGCUUUGUUUACAACAGAAAACAACCCAAAGGCACCCCCUUUUUUUUUUAACGAAAAAGAUAGAGAACAUGCCCCUAGUGCAAUCAGCGCCAAACUCGUUUUAUCAUAGUUAACAACACAAGUUAUGAAUAUGGAAAACUUUAAUUAACAUCUAUUAAUGAUACUAAAGUACAAACUAAGCU